rnacentral:rRNA from 1 species
AUUGAACGCUGGCGGUAUGCUUAACACAUGCAAGUCGAACGGUAGCAGGCCUUCGGGCGCUGACGAGUGGCGGACGGGUGAGUAACGCGUAGGAAUCUGCCUCAUAGUGGGGGACAACGUGGGGAAACUCACGCUAAUACCGCAUACGCCCUACGGGGGAAAGCGGGGGAUCUUCGGACCUCGCGCUAUGAGAUGAGCCUGCGUUAGAUUAGCUAGUUGGUAGGGUAAAGGCCUACCAAGGCGACGAUCUAUAGCUGGUCUGAGAGGACGAUCAGCCACACUGGGACUGAGACACGGCCCAGACUCCUAUGGGAGGCAGCAGUGGGGAAUAUUGGACAAUGGGCGCAAGCCUGAUCCAGCAAUACCGCGUGUGUGAAGAAGGCCUUAGGGUGUAAAGCACUUUCAAUUGGGAGGAAAACCU